GAUGAACGCUGGCGGCAUGCCUAAUACAUGCAAGUCGAGCGAACAGACGAGGAGCUUGCUCCUCUGACGUUAGCGGCGGACGGGUGAGUAACACGUGGAUAACCUACCUAUAAGACUGGGAUAACUUCGGGAAACCGGAGCUAAUACCGGAUAAUAUAUUGAACCGCAUGGUUCAAUAGUGAAAGACGGUUUUGCUGUCACUUAUAGAUGGAUCCGCGCCGCAUUAGCUAGUUGGUAAGGUAACGGCUUACCAAGGCAACGAUGCGUAGCCGACCUGAGAGGGUGAUCGGCCACACUGGAACUGAGACACGGUCCAGACUCCUACGGGAGGCAGCAGUAGGGAAUCUUCCGCAAUGGGCGAAAGCCUGACGGAGCAACGCCGCGUGAGUGAUGAAGGUCUUCGGAUCGUAAAGCUCUGUUAUUAGGGAAGAACAAAUGUGUAAGUAACUAUGCACGUCUUGACGGUACCUAAUCAGAAAGCCACGGCUAACUACGUG
rnacentral:rRNA from 1 species